UCCGUAGGUGAACCUGCGGAAGGAUCAUUACAGAAAGUAAACGCGGGUCAAACCGCGAACUUCUAAACCUCUGACGAUUGACUCACGUUGCCUCGGCGGGUUCGCCCGCCAGAGGAUACAUCAAAACUCCUGUUUUAACGGUGUUGUCUGAGCUACAAGCAACGAAUCAAAACUUUCAACAACGGAUCUCUUGGUUCUGGCAUCGAUGAAGAACGCAGCGAAAUGCGAUAAGUAGUGUGAAUUGCAGAAUUCAGUGAAUCAUCGAAUCUUUGAACGCACAUUGCGCCCCUUGGCAUCCCGAGGGGCAUGCCUGUUCGAGCGUCAUUUCACCACUCAAGCCUGGCUUGGUGUUGGGCGACGUCCCCCUUUAGGGACGCGCCUCGAAACGCUCGGCGGCGUGGCACCGGCUUUAAGCGUAGCAGAAUCUUUCGCUUUAAAAGUCGGGGCCCCGUCUGCCGGAAGACCUACUCGCAAGGUUGACCUCGGAUCAGGCAGGGAUACCCGCUGAACUUAAGCAUAUCAAUAAGCGGAGGA
rnacentral:rRNA from 1 species